GAAUUCGCCCUUAGAGUUUGAUCCUGGCUCAGGACGAACGCUGGCGGCGUGCUUAACACAUGCAAGUCGAACGAGAAUCGUAUGAGGGAGAUUUCGGUCAACUGAAUACGAGGACAGUGGCGGACGGGUGAGUAACGCGUGAGGAACCUGCCUUUCAGAGGGGGACAACAGUUGGAAACGACUGCUAAUACCGCAUGACACAUUGAGGUCGCAUGGCCUUAAUGUCAAAGAUUUAUCGCUGAAAGAUGGCCUCGCGUCUGAUUAGCUAGUUGGUGAGGUAACGGCCCACCAAGGCGACGAUCAGUAGCCGGACUGAGAGGUUGAACGGCCACAUUGGGACUGAGAUACGGCCCAGACUCCUACGGGAGGCAGCAGUGGGGAAUAUUGGGCAAUGGGCGCAAGCCUGACCCAGCAACGCCGCGUGAAGGAAGAAGGCUUUCGGGUUGUAAACUUCUUUUGUCAGGGACGAGUAGAAGACGGUACCUGACGAAUAAGCCACGGCUAACUACGUGCCAGCAGCCGCGGUAAUACGUAGGUGGCAAGCGUUGUCCGGAAUUACUGGGUGUAAAGGGAGCGCAGGCGGGGGAGCAAGUCAGCUGUGAAAUAUACGGGCUUAACUCGUAGACUGCAGUUGAAACUGUUCUUCUUGAGUGAAGUAGAGGUAGGCGGAAUUCCGAGUGUAGCGGUGAAAUGCGUAGAGAUUCGGAGGAACACCAGUGGCGAAGGCGGCCUACUGGGCUUUAACUGACGCUGAGGCUCGAAAGUGUGGGGAGCAAACAGGAUUAGAUACCCUGGUAGUCCACACUGUAAACAAUGAUUGCUAGGUGUGGGGGGUCUGAACCCCUUCCGGGCCGCAGUUAACGCAAUAA
rnacentral:rRNA from 1 species